rnacentral:lncRNA from 1 species
CUCCUCCCAUAAUAUGUCUAUAUAAAAUAAUUGCUUUGUAAUUACCGACAUGAUUAAAUGUUAAAUAAAUGCAAAAUUCUUAGUUUGGCAGCCUUUAUAUGUCCAGAAGGCUGUUUCAUUAUUUCUUUUUAAGAACUUCACAGUAUAUUGCUUAAUAUUUUCACUGCACACAUAGAUUUCACCAUGCCAUGUUAAUAAAUGUUGCAUAAGGAGCCACCUGCUAUAAUGGCUCUUGAUUAUACUUUCAAAACUACAGAUAGACCAAUGAAAAAAAUAGACUCAUCAUGGUUGGUUUUGAAAGUGGCAAUAUGUCGGCUGCUAAUACCAACACUGUAGACUGCUGGAUGCCAACCAAGUCAAGCAACUCCAUUAGACUGUAUCAGGUUUUCUUUUGCUUCCAGCCUGAAUGAGAGUUUAGUCUAUAAUAACUUCUCAUCUAAAAAAUGGCAAACAUUUUCACAUCCACAUCAGAAUAUUUUUCGCAUUUUUCUUUGCUCAAAGAGAAUUCUGUACCACCUUUUGUUAUAUUUUUAUAUCCAGUAGUAAUCUUUAUUAGCUAACAAACAUUUUCACAAAAAUUUUAUUUAAAAAAUGAAAACACCCAGUGUUGUUCUAAGGGGAGCUUGUACUUUUAGAUCUCAUCUUGAGGUAUUUCUCUAAGGAAUCUGACUGCUUAGAAUUUGCCAACUAGAGGAGUAAGUGCUAUUAAACUUUAUACUGAGAAAAUGUCAAAAACAUAUCCUUUUCACAUUGAAAUGUUCCUGUAAAAUUUGGAGACCGAUAUACAGAGGUAUACAUAUCUUCAGUGUAAAAGUUCCUGCUACUC